rnacentral:rRNA from 1 species
AUACGGAGGGGGCUAGCGUUGUCCGGAUUUACUGGGCGUAAAGCGCGCGUAGGCGGAUGAUCAAGUUGAGGGUGAAAGCCCGGAGCUCAACUCCGGAACUGCCCUCAAAACUGAUUGUCUUGAGUUCGGGAGAGGUGAGUGGAAUUCCUAGUGUAGAGGUGAAAUUCGUAGAUAUUAGGAAGAACACCAGUGGCGAAGGCGGCUCACUGGCCCGGUACUGACGCUGAGGUGCGAAAGCGUGGGGAGCAAACAGGAUUAGAAACCCCGGUAGUCC